rnacentral:lncRNA from 1 species
GCUUCUAUUACGACAUAUAAGAUAAAGUGUAAUCAUUGUUCACCUGUGGUAUAACAGGACUCUCUUUUGAAGGAAUUGGUCUCAACUUGCUCCAAUCAAAGAGGAUAUGAUGUGUUCAAACAUCUUAGUUAGGAGUGGUAGUGCUCACUGAUCUCUGACGACAUAGUUUCCGUACGAAAGUUGAUUUCCUCCAAAUUUAUGCAGGCUACAAUGUCUUAGUUCAGC